CCGAAGGCGCAUCCUUCGGCUCUAUUUAUAUUCUCUCUCUCCCCACCGCCAUCGUAAACCGCGGUUACAAAUGGAGGGCAGCUUAGCCCUAUGCCCUAUCCUGGUAAGCCGUCAGAAAAACCCUACAACAGUCACGAGCGUAAAAGAUUUGUCAGGCUUUCUGUUUGUAAACAAACGCUGUUCACAACAUUCUCCCCACCAGUGUAACGCUCCCGAGCGUUACACUUCCCUGACGUUUGUUUCCUGUCUUGCCCGUAAUGUUUGUCAUUGUCAACCCACGCGGUUCUACUUCUUUUGUUUGUGCCCUAUACGGUCGUCUUAUGCCGCGAAGUUACGUUGCUGCCCAGAUUUGCGAGUAUUAAACGGUUCCUCACACAUUUCUCUAGUAGGGUUAACGUUCCAUGGCCGUGUCCGUAUUCACAAAUACAUCAUCGUACGAUGGUCGUAUCGGCCGUGAUGAAUUAUCAUCAGUUGCUGCCUUGUUUAAGUCGAAACUGCGUAGAUGCAUAUGGGAAAAUGUACGGUCCUGCAAAACAUUCUUAAAAAAUCGAGAAAAUAUUUCGAACAGCGCAACAAGGCUGCGGAUUAACAAGAGGUACUACAUCCAGCACGCGAUUUGGAGGAAACGGCACCGCAUCACAUACCUCCAGCUGGCGACGAUCCUCCCGCGGUUCAGUGGCACAAAUCGCCCAAUUUAUACGCUCACCCCGUCCAGGAACCGGCUGGUCAGAAGCGUUGAUAUUGCUGGCGUCAGAUGGAGAGUAUUCCAUUACCUCGAUGUUUCGCAUCUCAUUCUCCUCUUUGUUGUAGGUGCAGAGAUGAAAAUUGCUGUACACCUCGGGUUUAACGGGCGCAGAUGCAGAGCAGGUACCGUACACCGACCAUCCGAGCCUUGACUUUACGGCAAUUGGUUCGUCGAAUUUACCCUCGACGCACCGCGAUGGUUUUCCUAAAUAUAUAUUGUCCACGCCGAUGAGGAUACGUGGCACAACAUCAGUGUAGGAAGCAAUUGGGAGUCCUUGCAGGUACGGAAACUCUCUGGUAAGCUCGUCAAACGAUAGCGUCUGUGGUGGCAGCGCAAGCUUUUUUAGGCUGUACGUGGUGGGUAGCUCGUACGUAGUAGCACCUUUGUGUACGCCUGAUACACGAAGCGACAACAUCAGCGAGUCGCUUUCCUUACGAGUUGUGCCAUCAGUCCAUUUUAGGCUAAGUGGAUGGGCAGUACCUUCCAUGCCCAACUCUUCGAUCAACUCUCGAUCAACAAACGUUGCCGAUGAACCCUCAUCCAAGAAAGCGAAGGUGUUUACGGUUUUCUCUCGGUUGUGGAUUAUUACCGGGACAUAUCGGAAAAGGUGGCGAGUGCUAGUGCUAAAAUGAGUGUUAACCGAGUGCUGUGUAUGGUGUUUUGAAGUGAUGGACCGCGGUGUUUCCUCUUCAGCGUGCAGUAAACUGUGGUGAAUCGCCCGACAUCCCUCAGUACCGCAAGGUGUUCGUACGAAGCAUGUGCCUCUAUGUGCCCCAAGACAUGUGCAACAGAAACGAUGUCUAUUUACGUGUGCGCGGCGUUCCUGCACAGUAAGCUCGCGGAAACGGGCGCAGUCGACCAGUGUGCGGCAUGAGUCGUGACACAGGUUGCAAGUCCUAGUGCUGUGAACAUUCACGUGAUGGUUGUUUGCUAGUGUCCUUCGGGCUGGUAGUGAUCGCGACAAAUCAUUGUGGUGCGAGUGUUUUUCGAAGGGAUUCACUUCAGUGCUUGCCGCUACCGCGAUCUCCGUGAACCAUUUACCGAAUUCUCCUACAGUUCUCUUCGAUAGUUUCGCCUUGUGGCGGGCCCACUCUAAUCGUCGUUCGGCCGGCAGUUUUGCUACCAACUCCUUUAACAGCGUCACGUUGCAGUCGUACUCUUUCAGUCCGGAAGCUUUUAUGGUGGCGCACAUCUUACGCACCGCCUUCCCGAAGAUUGCUAACGUUUCAAGGCGAUCGGUUCUAAUUUGAGGCAAACUUCUCACCUUUUCCACCAGGCUAUCCACUAUUAGAUCGGGCCGACCAUACUCCGUUCGUAAAAUGUCUAGCACUUCCGCUAGUCCAUCCGGUAGCAAGAGCAGAUGAUCCACGGACUCUAGAGCUGGUCCGCGUAGUGCCUGCUGGAGUCGGAUGAGAUUUUCGUCAUCAGUGAAACCACAAGCCUUGGUGGAUCGUUCGUAAACGGCUAUGAACAGCGGCCACUGCUCCACAGACCCUGAGAACACAGGGAGCUCCUUGGGUGUGCUAUCCCGCGCGGCCUUUUGACUUGGUGUCAAAAGGUUCCCCAUUACGGCAUUUUGAUUCGCGGGUGUCGGCUUCAACGUCGAGUUGACGCCGUGUGGCGCCGCCAUCGCCAUCGCGCCAGCCUGGUUUGGCUGGCCAAAGUGCUUGGUACGAUGCGUUUUGAUGGAGUCUUCCACCGCGCGUCUCCAUUGUGCAUAUUCCCGUUCCAUGGCAGCGGCUUGGUCUUCUGCCAAGGUCUGGUCGUAAUCCGGGGGGAAGCUGGACAUCGCUGGGGACGACCGUUGAUGACACCGGCUUGCGCCCGCCAUCGCGCAUUCCUCUCGUGAUGAGGUUGGUGUCGCUUCAUCGGCUAACUGCAUAGCACUCGCUGUUGCUAAGUUAUGUCUCACCGUGGUCGAAGGUGAAUGACCGAUGCGAUCGCCGCCAUCGCGAUGAACCAUCGAGUUUGUGCCAAUAUCCUUCGUCUUUUGCAUCCAGACUUCUGUUUUCCGCACAAAAUCGCUUACAUGGCUGCCUCGAUCUGAAAUCUCUUCCUCGAGUUCCAGUUCGCAUAGUUCGAGUUCGAGCUCCUUCUGAACCUUCUCGAGCUCGAACUGUUUCCUACGGAUCUCAAGCCGCUUCCUCCUCACCUCCAGGUCGCGGGGUAGUCCCGCGGGCUGCGAGGCUGACUCGUCUUUGUUUGCAGCAUCUUCCACGACGCUCACGCGCCUCUCCGGGGAGAUGCUGGACGUUUCACCUAGCUGCUGCUGUGUCUCCACCACCACACAGCUUGCGUCCUGUACUGCUCUUUCGUCCAUCAUCGCAACCAAACGACGUUCCUUCACGGUUUUUGUCGCUCGCGGAUUCGCACUACUCCCGGUGGCGAGAUUUAUAAACGAUCGUAUCGCGCGCGUAACUUCGGAAUACUAUAAACGAUUACUCGUCACUGCACGUUCGCGGCGUCUUCACUAUACUUUCAACGGAAAGAUUUACGAGUUAUUUCGCGCGUUUGUUCGUACUACUUCGGUUGAAGAUUUAUAUACGUUUCAGUGUGGUGAACGAGUCCAAAGUUUGUGUAUUUAUCACUGUGAAGAACUAAUUUUGUGAAAUGUUGCGAAAGUCACUUAAGAAAAGGAAAAAAAUGUGGAUAUUUCUGCUGGGGAAAAAUCACAAAAUUAGUUUUUAUUCCUUCCUUUGACUUUUGUGGUUAUAAGAGGCCGAAGGCGCAUCCUUCGGCUCUAUUUAUAUUCUCUCUCUCUCCCCACCGCCAUCGUAAACCGCGGUUACAAAUGGAGGGCAGCUUAGCCCUAUGCCCUAUCCUGGUAAGCCGUCAGAAAAACCCUACAACAGUCACGAGCGUAAAAGAUUUGUCAGGCUUUCUGUUUGUAAACAAACGCUGUUCACAACAACCAGCAAGCCGCAUGUCACCUUGUCACCGCUGAGCCGUCGUUGGAAAAUUUGACGGAAUGUUUGGAGCGUUUUUGGACCAUUGAGGAGCUACCAGACAAACCUCGAUUUUCACAACAGGAGAAGGAUUGUGAGGAGAGUUUUGCACAAUUUCAUCAUCGUGACGACGAAGGCAGGUAUGUAGUUAAUCUGCCUUUUAAGAUUGGCGAGCGUGAGCCAUUAGGCGAGUUGAAGCAGUGUGCGACCAAAAGGUUUCUGCAGUUGGAGCGGCGUUUGAAAAGGGAUCCGUCAUUGGAACGAGAUUAUGCUGCAGUGAUUGCCGACUACAUUAAUCAAGGUUUUUUGAAGAAAGUAACUAUCGACGAAACCGGUGAUGACCGUCAGCAGAGUUUCUAUCUUCCUCAUCACCCGGUUAUCAAAAGAGCUAGCACCACCACGAAGGUAAGGCCAGUUUUCGAUGGUUCCGCCAAAACAUCGAAUGGUGUUUCGCUUAAUGAAGCCUUACUGAAAGGACCCGUCAUUCAGGAUUCAUUAUGAGACAUAUUGUUACGAUUUCGUAUGAAAGCAUUUGUAUUGGUGGCGGAUAUUAAACAAAUGUAUCUACAGGUAAAAGUAGAUCCGAAGCAUACGCGUUACCAGCGUAUAUUAUGGCGCGAGGAUCCAGCAUUGCCGAUAGAAGUAUAUGAGCUACAGCGUGUUACUUUUGAUCUGACUUCAUCGUCAUUCUUAGCAACCAGGGUUUUAAAGCAGCUGGCGAUUGACGAAGGGGACGCCUACCCUAGAGCUCAGCAAGCGUUGCUACAAGAUUUUUAUGUGGACGAUUUCUUGGGAGGAGCAGACAAUGAAGAAGAAGCACGGCAGCUGGUUGAUGAAUUGAUAAAACUCAUGGCGAAAGGAGGAUUCCAUAUGCAAAAAUGGAAUUCUAAUUCAUCUGCUGUUCUGGCACAAGUGGCGUCUGAUGAUUGGCCACGUGCAAAUGUUGUGAAGCUGAGCUCUGAGGAGCCGGUAAAAACCUUGGGAAUAGCCUGGCAACCCCAAGAUGACGAAUUGUUUGUUGAGGCCAGCAUUCCUGUAUCUGAUGAGCCAUGGACCCGGCGACGCGUGUACUCCAUGGUGGCUAGAUUGUUCGACCCUCUUGGCCUUCUAGCACCAGUUACC